UCAUCUUCCAAAACAGAAAACCCAUCUCCAUCUCUUUCAUCUCGCCGGCGACGGCGUGGCAAGAUGGCGCCGCCCGAUGACAGCAGCGAGGCCCCAGAUCGUGGAACAUAUACGGCAACCCCUCCAUCUGAACAUCCUCUGCCCACAUCUCCAAUCAUGCCCGACGACGACACCGAGGCACCAGAUCGUGGAACAUAUAGAACAGCCCCUGGACCGGAACCUCCUCUGUCCACAGCUCCUCCACUGAUGUUGACAAUUGCCAAGGAACACAAUUCCGCCGAGGACGAGCAGCACACCAAGGGACAAUCAGGAUUUGCAAGAUGAAAAUAAUGUUCCAAGUGUUGGGAUGAGCUUUCAAUCCGAGGAAGAGGCAUACCAGUUCUACAAUUCUUAUGC